ensembl:misc_RNA Y_RNA Y RNA
AGCUUGUCUGAUGGUAGUGGGUUAUCAGAACUUAUUGACAUUAGUGUCACUGAAGUUGGUAUACAACCCCCCAUGCUAAGUUUGACUGGCUUUAA